GAAGGCAGACAAUAGGGUGCAGGAAGGAGAACAGCUGUAGGGAAUAAAAACACUUGGGAAGGUCAUAUAAGGAGGAGGGGAAUUGUCACAUGGGUGAAGUUUUCAGGAAGGUGCUAUUGUGUGGAGACUUGCAAGGAGACCUGACCUUAUAAGGAAGAAAUAAAGAAGUACUUUUCACAAAAAUGAGGAUGCAGCUGUGCUCCUCUCCUCCAUAGCAAAGGAAAUAUCAGCCAUGUGCUCUUCAGAGCUGUCAGGUAGAAGAGGUCAUUAAAGUCUUGUCUGGAUGUGAGGAUCACUCUAGGCAUGAUGUAAGGAGAGUUAACAUGCUGCAGGAGCCCAUUUCUGCUUUCAGAAUGUGUCAUUGUUGCCUGCUAUGGCUGAGUUGACCUAAGGAUUGGUAGGAGAAUUAAGCUAGCUACAAUGAUGGUAGGAAUGGAGUGGAAUAAAGGAGAUCUGGAGCAGAAAAGGACCAGAGAAGAAGGACCUGAAAUUGGAAUGCAAAGCCUUUGUGGUAUCAAAUGUAGACAGAUUGCAGAAAAACAAAACCUCAGAAGUACUCUUUCAUCUUUCCUGAAUGAUGGACGUCAGUACCUUUUUUCCAGUUUGUGUACUGUGUUCACACCUCUGGGUGUCUGUGCUCCUGCUCCUACUACCUGCAAAUGGAAGUGGUUGAUAAGGGCUAUAUGAGUACGUGCACAUAGCAAGCAGCUGGGCCAGAUCCACUUGGUUCAUUGUAUUCAUUCAAAGCUCAGAGUAAAAAUUCCAUCUGUGUGUAAUUGUUACUUGAUUUCCCAAUUUCUCCCUUUCUGGGGAGGGGUGGGAUGGGUGGGAGGGUUAAACAGAUUGUUACUUAUACCCCCACCCUACUCUCUGGGCAUGUUUAACCUGGGCGUCACUGCAAGUAUCUGAACUGAGCAGGGAUUGGGUCUGCUGCACUGAAAGCAAUUGCUAAUAUCCAGUUUCCUCUUAAUACUUUGGAGAUCUUCAGAGAUUAAUGGCUAAAUACAAGCCUGCUUGUUCUUGUACAACAAUCAAUGCUCUUUAAAUUCUAUGUAGUAUCGAACCAGGAAGGCGGAAAGAAGGAAAAUCACUAUUGACUAUUGAGAGUCAGUGAUAAUAUUUUUGAUAAUAUUCUUUAUAAGCUCAGUGAUCAAUCUCUGAGUACUACUUUAUUACAACUUAUUCUAGAUUCUUCUGUGCCUGUGCAUGUCUUGUCUGCACUGCACCCCUUGCAGGACCAUGGUCUGCAGAGGACUGUGUACAGUGUAAAAUAGAACAGAGGCUAGCUCUAGUUGUAAUCUCUAGGAGCUUUUCUCUAACCACUUAUUAAAGAAAAGGCACUGUCCCUUGAUUACUAAGCAUAGUAAAUAUGAGUGUCUAAUGAUUGGCUUUAUUUCUGGAGAUGUGAAGAAUCUGCAAGACUGAUUCAAGGUUUUUGAUGUAGUUAGGAUUUUGGAUUUUAGUGUGGUCAGUGUUGACUCAUCUAUGUUCUUUCUGAAGUCUGAAACAUUUGCUGUGACUUGGAAACAAUAAUUUGUUUUUCAUAUCCCUUCAGUAAGAAUUUGGUUGUACCAUCAGUGUGAUGUCUCUACUAUAAUAUCUCAUGGAUCACUAUUGGUGCUUGAAGAGUAAGUCAGGAGUAUUAAAUCUAUUGCAAAAU